GCGGUUGUGGCGGAAUAGGCAGACGCCCGGGCCUUAGGAGCCCGUGGGAGAAAUCCCGUGAGGGUUCGAAUCCCUCCAACCGCA
rnacentral:tRNA from 1 species